rnacentral:lncRNA from 1 species
GGCCCUCUCCUGCGACCUUGGGCUGAGCUUCGUGCUGAGGUCGCGGGCAGAGAUCUUCCCAGAUGGUGUCUGGUAGUUGCGGAGCUCGAAUCGCAGACAGGCGUUGACCCAGCGCAGGUACACCAGCUCUUCUACUUCACUGAAUCUGUUCAUUUGUAGGCCUUCCACUUGCUUUGUCAGGUCCUCGUUUGUAUGUCUCAGGUUGUUGAUCUCCUCUCUUGCAUGGGCAACUACAUCACUCUGCAUGAUGAAUUGAUGAUGGUAUGUCAUAUGUACAUUAUUGAGGAAGUAUGCCAUGAAAAAGUAUUAAAUACAAUCUGACACUUGGCUAAAAAUUAAUUACUAAGUAGCAUUCUUCAUUUGUGGAACUUCUGGAAUUGUGAUUUGGAUCUGAAAUACUAACUCUCAUUCUCUCAACAUAGAAAAGCACCUCAGCUGACUGUUUGUUCUACUGAACAGGGAAGAAAAUUGCAUUUAUCCUGAUAGGAGCAAACCGUUCAAUUUCUUGCCCAGAUAACAAUGUUAUGGCGAAAAUCAUGCUGUCAUGUUUAAGAGUAAAGUCAAAACUUGCGGUCCGUCUCAUGAGUCUUAUUGAUUGGUUUGUUUUUUUAGGAAAAAAGCAAUAUAAAAGAGAGUGCAUAUCAUUAGGUCCUACCUUUUACAAGUGGAAACAAAAGCAAAAUCCUAAUUUUGAACUAGAGACAAACUAAGAGGAUAGGCCUGUACACUACACGGAUAGAGACAAACCCAACAAACGUAGCAGAACCACUGCUAGCCUGCCACAGAAACUUGGACCGUCUAGGACCAUGCAAAUGAUUAGGCUAAAAAAAACUGCUGCUGAAUAUUCUUGUGUCAUGUACUAAAAUGCAAAAGGCUUUACAAACUUUGCAGAGUAAUAGUAACAGAGUAGUGCUAUACCUCUGUUAUUUUUCCUUGUGCUGCAUCCAGCUUCACCAUGAGAUCCCUCUUCUCAUACAGCAGCUCCUUGUUCUUCCUCCUCAGCUCAAGCACCUCCACCUCCAGGUUCUUGAGCUUCUUGAGCUUCUGUUCGAUCUCGGCGUCCUUCUUGGCCACCUCCUCCUCCUUGGCCCUGAGCCCCAUCACCUGUUGCUUCAGCAGCAUCAGCUGGCCUUUUGUCUGGUUGGCCUCCAUCUGUAUCUGCCGCUGCAGCUCCUUGAUCCUGCUCCUGGACGCGUCGAGCUCCUUCUUGGCGGCCGCGCCGCGGGCCACGUCCUCCUGCAGCUUCUUCCUCUCGGCCUGCAGCGAGCUGAUGGUGAGGUUGAGCAUGUCGACCUCCACCGUCUUGAUCUUGAGCUGCUUCUGCAGCUCGGAGACGUCGGUCUCCUGCUCCUUGAGGCCGUAGUACUCGAGCAGCUCGCCCUCGAGCUUCACCUCCCGCUCCUCCAGCUCCCUCACCAGGCCACGCAGCCGCUCCAUCUCGGCGGCGUUGUUGGCCAUGUGCGCGUUGUACCGGGACCGCUCCUUGACGUCGUACCUGUCACCCGGUAUCGGGAUGUCGACCUCCCCGCCCAGGAGGCUCUCGAUCUCCGAGAACAUGUCGUCCUCAUCGUCGUCGUCCACCGACGGGGCCGAGUUGAUUAUGCCGCUGAUCGUCUUAACCUCUUCCUCCUCGUCUUCUUUCUCCCCCUGAAAUAAUCAGCAGAAGCGAUGAACAAGACGCAGAACCAAUAGUUCUUUGCUGUAAAUUGCGGGCAGUGGAUGCGUGUACAUACAUGUCCAGUAUGCCGAGCCUUCUCCUUCCUCUUGCCCGCUUGGCCAUUGUCUGAAAGAGGCCAGGCAUAAGCUUGAGCGAGAAAUUCAGAUGGACAGAAGGAACCAUUGACGGAGUGGAGAACUAGAGGAGUACCUUUCUUAGGCCCCUUGCCUCGCUUAAGAGUGAACGCGGCGAAGGUUGCUAAUACCACGAAUCCGAGUCUCACAAGCAUGACUCCGUGCACUCAUCACUGUCCGUUCCGGCCUCGACCGGCAGGAGGAGGGCAAGGCCAGGCAGCUCUGGCUCUGCUCAUCACAGAACAGCUGCAAAAGCAGAGCUGGGAGGAGGAAGAAGCACGUGUGAAUGGCCGUGGCCCUGGCCGGGGCUGCUAAAUGUUCCUCAUAUCUUUAGUGAGCCAACGAACACCACCGGAGGAACAUGUGGAUUGGAUUGUCUAUCUAUGUUUAUCCCUCAGGAAAGACAGGCUCGUGUAGCACAGGAAGUCUCUUUUCUCUUCUGCUGUGUGUGUCCAAUAGUGUGGGACUUGUUGGUAGCUGACAGAUUUUCCAUAUGGUGAUGGUACCAGGAGGUGGUGGCUGACAAAAAUUUCAUAUGCUGAUGAUACACGAAACUGCGGAAGGCUUGUGGCUUUGGAAGAGAGUGGUAGGCUAUUGUUUGCUGUGCACAGAAAUGGGUGGUGGCUGGUGUGCCUGGGUGAGGGUGAAGCGGGGGUUGUAGUCUGGGUGAUGGUGAUAUAUCUGGAUUAUGAUGAUGAUGAGGCUCACAGGAUGGAGCAUGGCAGUGCUAGUACCCUCUCCUGGACUCUAAUCUGGAGUGGUUUUUGUAUAUGAAGCAAUACUAGCAGGGAAUUCGCCUGUUUUUGUAUAUUGUUAAAUACUUUAUUAACUUUUUCAAAUACAAUUUUUUCAAAAUUUAAUAUGUGUUAAAU